GAGCAACGUCAUUGAGGAUAAUGGGA
rnacentral:sRNA from 1 species